AUGAUACCCAACCGAAUCAGACAGACUCAGUCCAAACGAUUCAGGCUGACCGGCACCCUCAUACUCAGCCCAUGUAUGGAGUGGACAUGGGGCGGAUCGGACGUGCCCAGCCGCCGCCUCCACGUCGGAUUGGCCCACCCCGGUCCACGUCGUCUCCAAAAUGAUCCACCGAUACGACAAACCCUCACUCUCUUGACAUCUCUACUGCACUGCCGAUCUACUCGCUCUCUCCCCUCCCCUUCACCAUGGUCGGCAACGGAUUGGAGCGUGACGUUCGCCUCGAGCCGCUCAGGUGGUGGAUCCUGCAGAUCUGUGUCGGAGCCGCUUCUGCGGGUCAGCGAUGGCGACCACUCGUACACCUCCGCGAGACGGAUGGUCGUCCAAAAAUGA
rnacentral:rRNA from 1 species